UGGCAAUGAUGAUUAAAAGGCCGGACUUACGGCUGCCAUUUACUUCCUUGGUAGUAGAAUGAUGAACUUUGUUCGUGAAAGUGUGUUCUGAGCCAG
rfam:Cajanus cajan chromosome 5, whole genome shotgun sequence.